UCUUCCUUGGUCUAGUGGUCAUGAUUUCCGCUUGUCAAUCGUGUAUUCGGUAACAAGCGCGGGAGACCGGGGUUCGAUUCCCCGAGGGAGAG